CUUCUGAGGAGUCCCACAAUAGGACGAAACAGCCGUCAUGCAG
rfam:Schistosoma rodhaini strain Burundi genome assembly, scaffold: SROB_scaffold0002204